rnacentral:lncRNA from 1 species
GGGGUGGAUACAUUGGGUAUUGUGAAUAUGGUGGGUAGUAGGGUGGGUAUGGCAUCUGUGUGGGGUAAGGGGUGAAGCUAGGGUAAUCCGAUGUACCUCCCAUCGAAUACCCGGGAUUUUGUGAGAAGUGUGGGUAGUGGGGUGGCUGAAAAAAUCCCGAGGCCUGAGUGCCUCCUUGGGAUUCUCCCAUUCCCUCUUCUGACAUGCUA